CAGAGAGUGCAAACGUUGUUCGGAAUUACUGGGCUUGAAGCGCACGUAGGCGGCGUCGUAAGUGUCGGGUGAAAUCCCACGGCUCACCCGUGGAACUGCCCGGCAUACUGCGGCGCUAGAGUGUGGUAGGGGAGAGCGGAACUCCUGGUGGAGCGGUGAAAUGCGUAGAUAUCAGGAGGAACACCGGUGGCGAAGGCGGCUCUCUGGUCCACAACUGACGCUGAGGUGCGAAAGCUAGGGGAGCAAACGGGAUUAGAUACCCCGGUAGUCCUAGCUGCAAACGAUGGGCACUAGCUUGGGGUCUCCCUGUGUGAUCCCAGGUGAAGCAAAAGUGAUAAGUGCCCCGCCUGGGGAGUAUGGUCGCAAGGCUG
rnacentral:rRNA from 1 species